GCCUAGAGGGUAGCUGAGGAACAAAUGGAAGCUGCAGCAGGACAAAGACCCAGCCAGUACUAAAAGCUGGGUCCAUGAACAGCUUCUUGAAAUGGUGUGUGGUCGUGCUUAGCUGAGCAUGCUGUGGGACUCAUGAUGUUGGAAAAUGAGGGGGCAAUGAAGACUUAAAGAUGGGAUGGAAAAACAGCUAAAAAAAACAAAACAGAAGGGGAACAAGAAACAAAACAGAAAAAAAGCUGGCCACGGUAGCUCAUGCCUGUAAUCCCAGCAAUUCAGGAGGCCAAGGUGGGAGAAUCACUUGAGGUAAGAAGGUUGAGACCAGCCUGGGCAACAUAGCAAGAUCCUUGUCUCUACAAAAUUAAAAAAAAAAUUAGCUGGGCAUGAUGGCACACAUCUGUAGUCCCAGCCAUUCAGGAGGCUAAGGUGGGAGGAUCACUGGAGUCCUGGAGCUCAAAGGUGCAGCAAGGUAUGAUUAUGCCACCGCACCCCAGCCUGGGCAACACAACCAGACCUUGUCUCAGAAAAAAAACAAAAAAAAAUGGGGGCAGGUAGAGAAAAAAGUAUUUCCAGAAUUUUUUACAAUUAAAACAUAUAUCUAGCUAUUAAAAGUAAUGACAGCAAAAAGAUUUCCAAAUUCCCCAACAUAAAGAUAUCCAGAAUGUGAAGCUGCCAUUAAAAAUAUUGCCAUAGGCUGGGCGCAGUGUCUCAUGCCUGUAAACCCAGCACUUUGGGAGGCUGAGGCAUGUGGAUCACAAGGUCAGGAGAUUGAGACCAUCCUGGCUAACACGGUGAAACCCCAUCUCUACUAAAAACACAAAAAAAUGAGCCAGGCACGGUGACAGGCACCUGUAGUCACAGCUAUUUGGGAGGCUGAGGCAGGA
rnacentral:lncRNA from 10 species